rnacentral:sRNA from 20 species
GUCAACUACUCACCUGAGCUACUAACGGCAUCGGGAGGGCUAUUGCGAAAGCGAGCCCAGGUUGAUUAGCUUCAGCCACCAAUCUUCGGAUUGAUGGGGCUACGUUUACCAGAAAUAUAUAGGCACUACGGGAUUAGCCGAGUCCCGUACUCUGCG